rnacentral:rRNA from 1 species
UACGUAGGGGGCUAGCGUUGUCCGGAGUUAUUGGGCGUAAAGCGCGCGCAGGCGGUCCUUUAAGUCUGAUGUGAAAGCCCACGGCUCAACCGUGGAGGGUCAUUGGAAACUGGGGGACUUGAGUACAGAAGAGGAAAGCGGAAUUCCACGUGUAGCGGUGAAAUGCGUAGAGAUGUGGAGGAACACCAGUGGCGAAGGCGACUCUUUGGUCUGUAACUGACGCUGAGGCGCGAAAGCGUGGGGAGCAAACAGG